AACGUAGGAGCCAAGCGUUAUCCGAAUUCACUGGGCGUAAAGCGCGUGCAGGCGGCCUGAUAAGUUGGAUGUGAAAUCUCCUGGCUCAACUGGGAGAGGCCGUUCAAUACUGUUGGGCUAGAGGGCGACAGAGGGAGGUGGAAUUCCGGGUGUAGUGGUGAAAUGCGUAGAUAUCCGGAGGAACACCAGAGGCGAAGGCGACCUCCUGGGUCGCACCUGACGCUCAGACGCGAAAGCUAGGGGAGCGAAC
rnacentral:rRNA from 1 species